GCCCCCAGCCGGCCGCCGAUACGGCUGGGGCGUGAGGCGCAGCGCGGGCAGAUAGCGGGGUGGCUUCCAGGAAAGCGGGGAGGGGACGGCCCUGCGGGCCCGGCCGGGCAGGGCUCCCGUGAGAGACCGGGUGGGCUCCGGGGGUCCCUUCCUGUGGCACCCGGCGCAGAGCGCGCCGGCUGUGGCACAGCGAGAGGACGAGGGGACUGCCGGCGGCCUGAAGUGGUGUGGCUGAGAGCCAGGAGCUGCCGGGCAGUGUGCGUGAGCAGCCGGCCCUCCAUCCCUCCCCACGACGCCCGGGCCGCGUCAGGAUUCAGGAUGGAACUGCAUCCGUCAAGAUUCAAAAUUGGGCCCUUCAGGCUUGAAGCCGCUAACCUGGAGCUAUAUUACCACGCCAGCUUCCUGCAGCCGUGCACUCAGGAGGGCCCGCCACCCCCGAGCUGAAGACAAGGAGCCUGUCACAGUCAGCUUCUUCCCAGCUGAGGGCCACAGGGUUACUCUCACUGCCCGCACACGUGCCAGCAACAUCGGAUCCAGGGAUGAGGACCCGGACUGCAUAGUUGCAUUGGAAAAGUUGUCCGCGACACAGCUCAGUCUUCAAAUAUGAUACAUGCUGCUUUGUGUUUAAACAAGUAAUUAGGAUAGGUGGAAAAUUAUUACGUGAAUUAAUAGCACAAAUCCUAAACUGGGUAACUCUCCAGACACAGUUUUAUGGUUGACUUCAACCAACGUAAGUCCGUUGAGAAUGUCUCUUCAGCCCCAUUUCUGGGCACCUGCUUCUCACAGACGCGGGUGAACUUCCCCUGCUCGGUACAGCUAACGACUCACAGAACAGCACUCGUGACCCUGCAGUGUCUGACAUGCGCCCUCCUGUGUCCCAAGCGCAGGCCUGUGUGCCUUACACUAUUACUAGCGUAAAACAAAGCUGCUGUGCGUGGGUGCCCAGACCUCGUGCCCUCGCAGCACACCCUCACCACCCACACAGAGGCCCUACCCUGCGCUGCCAAGGCAGUGAAGCCAAAGGUGGCAAAGGAGUUACCAUCCCCAGAGCUGCACAGCCAGAGAGAUGCUCCAGGGAUGACAAGUCAAAAUUGUGCAUGACUCACCCUCCUUCUUUACUGCCAUGGAAACUGAAUAAUGAAUCAUAAGUGCUUGUUAUGCUGUUCAGCUCUUCAGAGGGCCUGGGUGUGUUCGGCUUGCCUAAGCUCGUGCCACAGAAGCAGAACUGAAAUGGCCAAAAAACUCCUGCCGUAAGGGAAACUAUAAAAUAUUAGAGUGUCUGAAAACCACAUCCCAGGUACUUCUAGAGCAAAUGCACCUUAAGUGCACACGGGGAAAAUUCCUAAAUCAGUUCCAAACGUAACAAUUGCUUCUCCAGACCUACGUUCACUGUAAUGACACUGCGACCCUGGUAACACUUUCAGACCCAAGAAAUUCAGCUACCAAGUGAAGAAUACAUCACAAACUCACGAAUGCUGACACCCCGCCUGUCAUGACCAGCGAGAUGUUAUCCCAUACCAACCUACCAGCACCCAGUCAGCAAGUGAAAAUGCAAAGUCCAAAGGAACAGCUUGAGCUGAGAGCAGUAGGAUCUGUUUUUGCCUACCUUAAAUAUCAGAUCACAGCUGACAUACCUUGCUGACAUGCUGAAGAUCUGCUGCGAUUCCCCUGAAGCUGGCCUUGCUCCUGGAAACAAAGACGCACUGCUACGCGAAGGUGCGAUCUCGCAAUCCGUGAUUUCAGGAGAAGAGCUGCUGCGUCAAGCUUUUACACCUCCUUUUGCUCCCAGCCUAUCUCCACCUUCGGCAUGGACUUCCACAUUGACCUACCUGAGUGUAGGGCUCCUGGUGAUCUCCUGUUCCAGCAGAAAGCUAACAGACAGCGCUUCCAACCCCGCAGAAGGCGACGUGACUGACCAGCACUGACCCCGGGUCCCAGCUGCCUCACUUCUGAGGGUGCGAUCCACCACAGAAAGGAGAAGCGGUCUGCCAUCUGCCCAGCUCCAAGCACCACCUCUCAGGCAGGCCCUCCUUAGAGGUUUGCAGCUCCGACCUGCCUGCUGGAUUUCUGAGUGCGGUCCUGUCGUGGCACCGUCGUACCAUCUGUGCCAAGGUGAAGGUGUAUCCUGGCUCCUGGGGAGCUUCCAGCUCCACUGCCGAACCCCACAGAUUCCUAAUCUAUUUCUGUCUGCUUUACCCAUACACAAAAUGGGGCCAUAACCAGCCACCCAACAACCACUGUCACUAGCUGGAACCACCUGAAGUGUGCCAUAAAAUCAAAGGAGUAAAGCUUCAGCUAGACCCUGCCCCUGGGAAGAAAGGCUGUUAUAUGCCCGGAGUGCUGCUAACACAGACGCUGGAUGCUGCAUCACUGAAGAGCUCAUCCUUAGCACCUCUCAGUGCCACGCCAAGCAAGCAAUGGUAUUUUACAACCAGAAGACACCUGAGCAAACUCGUGCAACUUGACCAGACCCAGAGAUUCUUUGAGCAAGCUGGAAAACCUGACCCUGAGGGGUGCAGAAACCUCUCCGAAAGGCAGAUCUCAUACCGUGCCUUUGUGCUCCUGGCCAAACUCAUCCUGAGUCUGGUCCUUAGCGGGGCCCCAAAUACCGAUGCGUUACCUCUAACCUGUGCUUACAGCUGCUGCUGAAGGAUGGGCUAACUUGCAGCAAAAUCCCAGGUGCCGGCAAGCCAGGGCUCCCAGCUCAUCCCACCCACUAGCUGCUCAGCUUUUCUGGAGGGACGAAGCGCCCGCGCCCUCGGCCCUCCUCUCAGCUGCACGCAAGCUCUCUCGGUUGUGCCACCUUCAGGAACAAAACCUGCGGCUGCAGCCCCGCGGCUGACACGGCAGUUUGGGGCAGGCUGUUAGCACAAGUCUUUUCUUGCCUGGGCCAAAAGCAAAGGCAGCAGCACCACCAAGCAGCCCCUGCCUCCAUUCUGCCUCUGCGUGGCACGACAGGGGGCAGGGCAGAGGGGCAGGAGGCUGCUCGCAUGGAUGCUGGGCACGGAGAACCCCCGCUGGGCUGGGGCUUCGUGCUGGGGCCGAGCAGGGUUUCUGUGCCCGUUUUGCUACGUGACUCACGUGCUGCCGUUGCCGCUCCCGGCCCUCGCCUGCCUUGGCUACUUACCCUUGGCUACUGAAACCUCUUCAGGCCCGGGCCAGUCCGUGCAGGACGGUUCCCUACCUCCUGCAUCACCUUCCCCCUUUGACGCUCUCGGUCUGGACUGUUAGGGCAGAUGCAAGCUACACCGCAAGGGGCUGCCGGGCUGUAAGGACAGCCUGCUGCCGGGAGAGGCCGUGGCUGGGAGGCUGCUGGCAGCAGCGGGGUCAGUCAUCGCCCCGUGCUCCCGUACAAAGCCGUGGAGAGAAAGGAGCUCCUCUCCCCGCCUGCCCAGCUUGAAAAGCCGCUCGGCGAAGAUAAAUCAAGGAAGCACCGAACUGGCACCGGCUCAGGUGCAGGCAGCUCUCAGAUCUCCUCCCUGAUGCUCCUUCCCUUCCAGGCAUCACGUCUGAGCUCGUAAAAGUCUCACGCGGGCUAGGUCAAAGGCAAACCACCAGGGGGAGAGCUGAGGCCAGGCUGGGGCUGGUUGCACGCUUCCACCUGGACAAAAUUCGGGGGCCAGCAGCACGUUUUGGUUGGGAUUCUCCUACGAAAACAUGUGCAUAUAGGGAAGGAGGUGACAACGACAACUCACAGCCAAGACAGCUCUUCCUCUGAAGGACAAAUCCUUUGCAGUGAGCAUUCGCAAGGCCCAGCGCCCUCAAAGCACGAGGUUUUGUGCUAUGUAACCACUGAUCUGGGUAUCCUGCCACCCCCUCGGCCAGCCGCAGUGCCCGCAGGGCAGCGCAGCCACCGCCGUGCCCUCCCUGAGUGGCAGCACAGCCUGGGGCUGCUGGACAUCUUCCCAGGUUUCUGCCCGCAGAGGCCAAUGCUGAUCCACCUCAGCGCCUCUUCAAACAGCACGGGGCUCCAGGAGACAACGUGUGGGCUCCGGAGCUACCCAGCUGGAUUUUUCCUCAAAGCCCCCUUUAAAUGGCGCGUCCCUACCUCCUCCACAGCCUGCAACCUUCUGCCGAGAGAGGAAAUCCGAGCAUCUCCCAUCCGGCACGUGCCCUCCCGUCCCCCAGACAGACCUCACAGGGACACGCCAGCGGCAGCAAGCUCCGGAAGCAGGACACAGCCACCCAGAGGGUUUGUCGAGACCAUCAAAUAAUAAUUUACUGUGAUUCAA